CGUGAGAUGUUGGGUUAAGUCCCGCAACGAGCGCAACCCCUAUCCUUUGUUGCCAGCACGCAAUGGUGGGAACUCAAAGGAGACUGCCGCGGACAACGCGGAGGAAGGCGGGGAUUGACGUCAAGUCAUCAUGCCCCUUAUGUCCUGGGCUACACACGUACUACAAUGGGAUGGACAGAGAGCAGCGAAGCCGCGAGGCCAAGCGAACCCCAUAAACCAUCUCCCAGUUCGGAUUGCAGGCUGCAACCCGCCUGCA
rnacentral:rRNA from 1 species